CGGAGUGUGGCUCAGUUGGUAGAGCGCCGCGUUUGGGACGCGGAGACCGUGAGUUCGAGUCUCACCACUCCGA
rnacentral:tRNA from 1 species